rnacentral:lncRNA from 1 species
CGGUGCUCUCCAGCGCCGAGUUCCAGCCGCAGUGCGAGAAGAAGCCGCCGGUCGCAGCAUGGGCCAGCACCCUGACCUGCGGCGCCCACGACGGCACCACGCGGCCCACGUCCUUUGUCCGUUCCAAGAAGCCCUCGGGAAGGUAAUUCGACGGAUCGUCCUUGUUUCCUAACAUCAUUUAUAAACAGUAAAAUGCGACAAAUCAAGUAUAGCAACUGAGUUCUCCAACCAACUUUGGCCUAUGAAAGAAAUAACUUACGCACUAAAUCGAUGUGCGAAGAAUUGUAAAAACUCUAUACUAAUAAAUCAAAAUUAUAUAUAUUAUAAUAUCGGCACAUCAUCAAAUUUUAUAGCAAAUAGCUUAGUACCUGAUGUGAAGAAGGCGGCGUUCUUUUCUUUGUCACUCGGACACCUGACAACCCAAAGGAAGCGCUGCCCGCUGGCCUCCAGCCCGAGUGCCAUCUCCUGCAUCUGCUCCGUCGAGAGGGAGCCGCCACUUCCGAAAGACACGAAUAAAACCGAGUCGGCCGGCUGCCGGUCCAGCCACUCCAGGCAGCCCGACUCGUCCGCCUCGUCCGAACCGGACCGGACCAUCGGACCCACCAGGUGGACCGGCGGCCUCCCUGCUUCCGCUUGCUCCUCCUCUCUGAUGGCUUUCAGCACCUCCUGCUCCAUCUCCUCGAAGCUGUUCACCAGGAUCCCCGCCGCGUCGCUGUAACUGCAAAACAAAUCGUUACUUUGACAACUCAAUUGUAUUCGAACUAAGAAUCUACUAUUUUAUUUAAAAUUAUCAAUUAUUUUAGAAACGUACGAUGUUUCUUACCUGCUCAUGAUCCGGAUGACCGGAGCGUAGGCGGGAUGUGACUUCUUGCGCAAGGGGUCGGGGAAGUCCGUCCCGCGUAUGGCGACGCAGCCGGGCAGGCGGACGGGGUCGGGGAGGUCUUCGAAGUCGACGUCGGUGGUCUCGUCGAGCCGGGGCAGGCGCAGCGCGAGGGUGAGCAUCGUAAGGUUGGAAGGGUAAAAUAUGUAGCCCGGCACUCCGAGCUCCCGCACCAGCGACAGCGUCACGGCCCCAAAAAGGUCACAGACGAAGGCGGCGGCGGGGUUUCGGAAGGAGAGGAAGGCGUCGCGGAGGAGGGGGAGGCAUCGAGCGGGGAGGGCGCAGAGGUGGGCUUCGAUCGGGGAGUCGGGGGGGAGGUCGGAGAGGGAGAUGGAGGGGAGGGAGACGGAGGUGACGGAGUCGGAGGGGAGGGAGGCGAGGAAGGCGGCCUGCGCUGGGGAGUCGAAGUUGGAGAAGGUGAGUAGGGUGGCGGAGAAGCCGUGGGCGGCGGUGAGCCGGACGGCGAAGUCCGCCAGCGGGAUCACAUGGCCCAUCCCCGGCGUCGGGAGCAAAACCACAUGCGGCCGCCGGCUCUCCUUCCCCUCGACAGCCAUAUAAUUAAUAUCGUAAUAUUUGUUUGGACUGUCGUGCAGUAUAAAACAGAGAUACAGAUAUAUUCGUGAGAAGGGAAGUCUGAGUUGUGUUGUGUUUGUAAAAUUUGUCAGGAAGCUUCUCAUGAAUUAAGGGAAAAAAAAGUGUGGGCCAUGUUCUCAGGUCGGUCGUCUUUGGCUCCAUGUGUUGUGGACGUGUUUGGUUAUGUCUUCCUUUCCAAUUUAAUAAGACAUAAAUAGAAUAUAGUAAAUUUUAACUUUUUUUAAUAGUUAUAGCAUUUUAGAAAGCAAUUUGUUACAUAAGUCAUAAAGUAACAAACACAGUACAUGAACUUGAUCAAAUUAUUAUUACGUACAAUAAUUAAUAGAUGCUAACCUAAUUAUUUAGAUAAGAUGCAUCUUAUAAUAAUAUAUAUUAAGCUUACUACCUAGAACAAAAUAUAAUUUGUAUGUACGCGUCACGUUUUUAUUAUUUCAUUUUAAACAAUUAUUGUAUGCGCAUAAUUGCUGACGAGUACUGCGUACAUCUUUUUAAUAUGUUGAUACAUCAAAAUAUUUCUCAUUCUAGUAACUCCCCUUCAACCAGUAUUGUCAAAAUACACUCCUGAACUUUUAAUUUCAGUUGCUAAAUUAACCAGUUUUAUUAAUCCUCCUCCUCCAAUAAAGUUAUUAAUUAAUUAAAUAAUGAUGCUGAUUGAUAAAUUAUCCUCAAAUUGCUAUAAUUACUUUCCUUUUGUACGCUUUGGGAACAAAUAAUAUCUUUAUAUAUGUAUACAAUUAAUGUGUACCUUAUUUAUGGGCACAUCGACAAUAUCAACAAUUUAUAUAUAUAAAAAAAAAUCUUUUAGACAUUCAAAAUAUUUUUCUAAAAAAAUAUUAAAAAAGAUGGAUUAAAUACCUUACAUCUGAUUUAGAUUUAUAACCUUCUAUCAUAAUAUGGUGGGCAUACAUGUUACUAAUUAAUUAGUAAUUACUCUGCCGAAUACAUUUUGAUCCUGUUCCAACUUUUGUUUUUAUCUUUCCUCUUUUUGUACUUGAUUAAUUACCUUAUAUUCCAAUAAUUACUUUUCUCCUCCCAUUUUGCUUAUGUUUUAUAUUGGGGUCUAAAAAUGAUUCUACUAGUUAUAUUAAGGUAUUAGAUGAACUUGAUCCAAUAACUAUUUUUAAAAGAAAUAAACGAAACAGUUAACAUACUACCUUACCCUCUCAAAAAAAAAAAAUUUGCUGUAAUAAUACCUUUCCGCCGUAUCGUACGGGCCGUUAACUAGUUUUCUAUAAUUUAACAACUACAACUCACGAGGAAAACGACAAGUGCAAAAUUAUAUAAAAAAAAAAAACUUAACAUUUAUUGAGGAUCUGUCUUUCAUUUAAAAAAAAAAUGUAAAAGAGACAAAUGAAAUCCUCAGCAAUCCAACUGGUACCGACCGUCCCUAGAGCAAGUGGCAAAAGACUUGGUGGUUGGUACCCGAAACUCAAAUUUGAAUCCUAGUUGAUUCAUAUUUCCAGCUAAGUUUAUUUCUAAAUAAAAUAAACGAAGCAGGUAGCGCGCUAUCUAUCUCUCAAAAAAAAAAUAAAUAAAAUCCGAGCAAGUGGUCAAACAAGCCAUUUUGGUGGGACAGCAAAUAUAUUUCAUGGACCGAAUCAAUAUGAUGAACUUCUAGAAACAACAUAAAGCAAUUAAUUUUUAAAUUUAGAAGUCAUUGAGUAGAGCUAGAAUACCCCCAAAAGCACCAAUAGGUUGGUGUUUUUGAGUUUUUAGCUUUUUGAUGGAGAGAUAUAGGGUUGAGAUGAUAGUGGUAGGUGGUACUACGUGGAAUAAUACUUGAUCCAAAGGGUAUUAGUAAUUGAAAAGCAUAUCCAAGGGAUAAAAACUUAGAAGCACCAAUAAGUUGGUGGUUCUAAAAGUAUUCUAGCUCUACUCGUCAUUGAGUAUCACUUUUUUUAACAGGCGUAUAUUCCAAUCUACACUAAUUUAGUUGACUAAAUAUUCACGCAUCGUUAAUGUAAAAAUAAUAUUGUAAUACUGUGAUUAUUGAUGCACCAAAAAUUAUAAUUUUACAUCACUUUUAUUUCAGUAGUAUAUUAAUAUUUAAUCAGAUAAAUUCGAGUGCGGGACUUGGCUACUUGCUUUGUACUUAGUCCCAUACCAUUUGUUUUUUUUUUUUUUUGGAAUGUUACUUCAUCCCCUCUUUUGAUGUUGACUAUUGUCAAUUUGGCUUAAAUUAGCAUGCCAUUACAUUAAUAAGAGAAUCUUAUUGAAGAAACAAUGGUCACAUAUGAUGCAAAUAUAGUCAAAACAAAAAAGCUUUUAUAUUCUUAGGAAAUUACUUAUAAAAUAUUCGAAUCACCAUCUAAAAAGAAAAGAAAAACUAACCACCCAUUUUCCUGGUCCAAAUGGCUUGACAUUUUCAAACAGAGUUUUCAAAUUUAUUUAUUUUAUAAAAAAUAAUUACGUGUAUUAAGUUGAUCUGAAAAACAAACUAUUCAUUGAGUAUACUAACAUUCAUGCGAAAUUAAUAUAAAUAACACGCGAAAUUAACAGGCAGUACGAUGCAUACUAAACAAACUAUUAAUAUAAAUGACCUGCGAAAUUAACAGAUAGUAUGAUGCAUACUAUGAAAAAAAUUAAUUAGACAAAAAAUUAUAAUUGAUAAAAAUAAUUAUUCACAAAAAUAUAGAUAUGAUACUUUGUUUACUUUUACGCAGCACAAGAAAAUAAAUAGAUAGACCUAAGUAAUAGAUAAACCUAGUUAUCCAAAAGCCGAUCAAGAGGUAGGGAAGUUCCAGUCCUCUAUAUAAAGUUAAAUUUGGGACUCAGUACGCUUGUAUGGGUUUAUUGUAUAACGGUGUGUUUGGUAAAAUCGAUCUACACUUCAGUAAAGCUAGAGUUCCGUCUGUAUGGUAGGAAAAAUUCUAGAAUGCAACGGGUAUAUUAGUGACGUGGCGUAACAAACUAAUCAAAUUAAUCCUUUUAAGAAUAUAUGUCCCAUCAUGAUUGUAAAAAAAUAUUUUUAUUGUACUUUUGUUUAAAAAGAAGGAAUGUGAUUGGCUUGUUAUUGAUGACGUGGUACAAGUGUGACAGUGUAGAAUUCCUCCCAAGAAAGGGUGUAGGCCCCAUGGAAGUCAAGCUCCGCCAUUUCGUCCGUGAGCCAACUUGUGGUUUUCUGAGACGAAUUCACACAUGCAGGCGGUGUAGGCCCCAUGGAAGUCGAGCUCUGCCGUUUCGUCCAAACAUAGGCGAAUUCCUGUUACAAGAAUUAUGUCACCUCCACCUCGAAUUCGAUCAAAACAAAUACGUUCUAAGUUAGUUUUUUUUUUUUUAAGAGAGAAAAACAACAUACUAUCCAUUUCGUUGAUUUCUUUUAAAAUAAAAAAUAAACUUAGCUGAAAAUAUAAAAUAAUUAGAUUUCGAAUUUAGAAUCUCAAGUAUCAAUCACUAAAUCUUUUGCCACUUGCACUAUGGCGGGGGGUCAUUACACUCUAAGUUGUUGAAAGAAUUGUUNUUACCCUAUCAGAAAUCAAAUUUGAUUUUAAAAAUAAUUGAAGUAUACUUAGCAUAUAGGAGUUUGUAUGUAGCACUGGACAAUUAAUUUCUGACAAAGUUAGAGUAAAAUUUAAACACACAAAAUAAAAUCAUAAUACUGUACUUAAUGAUGCAAAAUCCACUGGUGAUAUUUUUCCUCCUGUUUUGUCCAUUUACAAGAUUCUUGUACCCUUCAAUUUUGGUAUUUUCCUAUCUUAUCUUACCUUAUCAAUAUCAAUAUAUUAAAGGGACCGACUGUUCCUAGCGCAAGUAGCAAAGAGCUUGAUGAUUGAUAUUCGAGAUAUCAAGUUCGAAUCCUAGUUGAUUCACAUUUCCAUCUAAGUUUAUUUAUAAAUAAAAUAAAUAAAACGGAUAACAUUCUACCUAUCUCUAAAAAAAAAAAAAAAAAAAAGAUUAAAGGCGUACCAUUAGGGCUGGCAAAUGAGCGAGCCGCUCGCUUCGAGCUCACGCGUCGAACUCGAUAUUUGCCAUCGUGAGCUCGACUCCGAAAUUAAAAAUGAAGCUAGCUUGAACAAAAAAACAAAGCUCGAAAUACCAUUUCAAACCGACUUGAGUACUUACUCCGCUCGUUCGAAUUAGGCCCCCGAAAAGCUCGAAAUCAUAUAUAUAUAUAUAUAUAUAUAUAUAUAUAUAUAUAUAUAUAUAUAUAUAUAUAGUAGAGCUACUAUACUAUCGAAAGUAUAGAGAUCUGGUGCUCUCGAUUUUUUGAUUCUUAGAUCAAUCCCUUUAAUCGUUUUUUAUCUUUGGAUUAAUAUUAUUAUUACCUUAUAGGGACCACUCAAUCCUAAGAGUAUUAUUUAAUCCUAGGGAGACCGCAAUCAUCUCAACGAUACAAUUUUUAAUCAAAUGGUCAAAAAUUAAAAAACAUCAAAUCCUCUAUAUUUCGAUAGCAUAGUAGUUCUACACUAUAUAUAUAUAUAUAUAUACAUACAUAUACAUAUAUAUAUAUAUACAUAUAUAUAUAUAUACAUAUAUAUAUACAUAUAUAUAUAUACAUAUAUAUAUAUACAUACAUAUACAUAUAUAUAUAUAUAUAUACAUAUAUAUAUAUAUAUACAUAUAUACAUAUAUAUAUAUAUACAUAUAUAUAUUAAAAAAUAUAUAAAUAUAAUAUAUAUAUAUAUAUUAAAAUAUAUAUAAAUAUAAUAUAUUUUAAUUAUAUAUAGGUUGAGUGAAUAAUCUGAGUUUAGUUAAAAUUGGGCCAAUGUUGUUGGCCCAUAAAAACAAACCCAAUAGACAAAUAAAAAAGUAAAAUUUUACUAAAUUUAUAUAUUUUUCUUUUCUUUCUUUCUUUCUUUUCUUUACAGAGUUCUAAAUUUUCAAUAUUUUUCUUUCUCAUUUUCUGCCUCUCACCCUAAGUGGCCAAGCCGGAAGCUCUCUAAGUUACCAAGUAACAUCAUAUGCUCGCCGUUGCCUAUCUUACUAUUUAUUGUAUGCUUGAAAAAACAUAUAGAAUAUUUUUAAAGUAAAAAAAUUAUUAUUCAUAUAAAAUUUUAAUUUUAGUUAUAUAUGAUUGGGUAGUUUAAUCCAAUAUUUAUCUAUAAAAUUUAUUUAUUUUUGACUGUAUAAAUGAAAAUGAAUAAUAUAGAAAUUGAAGGCGGAAGAAAAGACAUGUGAGGCUGAAAAAAUUAGAUAUUCAACUCAUAAAUUAUUUUUUUUAAUAUUAUAAUACUAUAUUUCAUAUAAUUAUUUUGUACUUUGAACUAUUAGACAUAUUUUUGUAUCAAAUUAUAGAUAAUGUUCUAUAUAAAUUAAACUAUUGAUCGUAUAAUGUUCAGAAUUUCAAGCGGCUCGUUUAGGGCUCGAGCUCGCUCGACUUGAAAUUAGGCUCGCUCGAGCUCGACUCGAAUUAAUUUCAAUCCAAGCUUGAGCUUAAAUUUAGGCUCGAAAUUAAUUUCAAGCCGAAUUUGAGCCGAGGUAAGCUCGCUCGAGCUCGGCUCGUUUCCACCCCUACGUACCAUACAUGAAAGGAGAAUCCAAACCAUGUGUACAGCAGAGCCCUCCUCGCUCCUGUGGGGCCCACUCUUUUUUUUUUUUUUUUUCUCUCUCUCCCAUACUUCCUUCACCCUUUCUUUUUUUAUUUGUUUUUUUCUCUCAACAUUUUUUUUUUUAUUUUUGUCUAUAUCACGUGUAAAAUUUUAUUAUAUGAACUAACCUUAUUUUUUAAUAGUCGAUAUAACAAAAUUAAAAUUUCAUACGGUAUAAAAAAAAUUGUACACCAAGUGUAUAAAACAUGCUUAUAUACAAUUUAUAAUUUGAUUUUUUUUUUAUUUUUACCUAUAUCAAGUAUAAAAUUUUAGCGCAUACACCAAUUCUAUUUUUUAAUAGUCUCCUCAAGGAAAGCGGUGGGACCCACUUUUUUUCUCUCUCAUACUCUCUCUCUCUCACACCCUAUACCCCCCCCUCCUCCUCUUUUUUUCUCUCAACACCUUUUCUUUUUUGUUUUUUCCUACACAAGUUUAAAAUUUUAUCAUAUAGAUCAACCUUAUUUUNCUUAUUUUUUAAUAGUCGAUAUAACAAAAUUAAAAUUUCAUACGGUAUAAAAAAAAUUGUACACCAAGUGUAUAAAACAUGCUUAUAUACAAUUUCUCAACACCUUUUCUUUUUUGUUUUUUCCUACACAAGUUUAAAAUUUUAUCAUAUAGAUCAACCUUAUUUUUUAAUAAUUGAUAGUGUACAGCAACCACUUCAAAUAAAGAGGUGGGGCUCACUCCACUUUUUUUUUCUCUCUCUCACUCUCCCUCACUCUCUCACACAUUGUACACCGAGUGUAUAAGACGUGCACAUGUAUUGCAUAUGAUAAAGUUUAGCUUUCUAUCUAUCUAUAUCCAUACACCCUACACACACCCUACACCCUACACCCUACACCCUACACCUCUAUAAUCCUAUUUUUUAAUAUUCAAUAUAACAAAAUUAAAAUUUCAUACGGUGUAAAAAAGUUGUACACCGAAUUUAUAAGAUAUGCUCAUAUACACGUCUUUGACAGUAUCAAAGAGAACUUAUAUACUUUGGGUUAAAAUUUUUUUGUACGUAUAAAAAUGCAAGUAUCUAAUUUAAACAUACACAAUAAAUGAAAUAACUAGGAAAUAUAAUCUGAUCGAAUACUUUGUCAUAAUAAAAGUAGAUUAUACAUGUAUGAAAGUUGUGUGCACUCAGUAGUUGUACAGGAUAACAAAGAAGGACCCUCAUAUUUCUGGCAAAAAUACUUUAUUUUUUAAUAGUCGAAAUACAAAAUUAAAAUUUCAUACGAUGUAAAAAAAAUUGUACAACAAGUGUAGAAGACAUGCUCAUAUAUAAUCUAUAAUUUAAAAUUUUUUUAUUUUUGCCUACAAAAUUUUAUUGCAUGGACCAAUCUUAUUUUUUAAUAGUCUCCUCAAGCAAAGAGGGGGCACACUUUUUUUUCUCUCUCUCAUUCUCUCUCUCUCUCUCUCACCCUACACUGCUUAUUUUAUUUUAUUUUUUCUCUCAACACCUUUUUUUUUUAUUUUUUCCUGCUCCAAGUGUAAAAAAUAGGGCUGGUCCAUGCGCUAAAAUUUUACACUUGGUGUAGGCAAAAAUAAAAAAAAUUCAAAUUAUAAAUUAUAUAUGAGCAUGUCUUAUACACUCGUAUACAACUUGUUUUACACCUUGUAAACUUUUAAUUUUUGUUAUAUCGACUAUUAAAAAAUAGGGUUAGUCCAUGCGAUAAAGUUUUAUACUUGAUGUAGGAAAAAAAAUUUAAAAAAAGGUGUUGAGCGAAAAAAAUAAAAAAAAAAAAGGGUGCAGGGUGUGUGAAAGAGAGAGUGUGAGAGAGAGAAAAAAAAAACCUAUUUUUUAAUAAUUAAUAUAAUAAAAUUAAAAUUUCAUCUCAUAAGUAUAAUUUAUAAUAUAUAAAAAAUAUAGAUAGAAAAAUUAAUAGAUUUGUACCUCUAUAAUAAAACUUCAUAAAUAUUAUGUAAAAAAAAUUAAACAUUCGGUGUAUAAGACAUUGUUACACAUUAUUCAAUUUGACUUUAACUUAACAUCAAUAAAGUUUAGUUUUGAGCUCUCCUUCCUUGGAGCAUUGGUGGGGUCCGCCCACUUUCUCCACUCCCACUUUUUGGUAGUAGGUAAUAUUUUGCUUUGUUUUUUUAGAAAUAAAUUUAGCUGAAAAUGCGAUUCGAAAUUGGGACUUCGGAUAUUGAACACCAAACUCUUUACAACGUACGGUGGGAACGAUAGGUAAUAUUAGAAUAAAAAAUGGGCCAGUAUUUGAUUUAGUAAUUUAAAUUUAGGGAAAACUUCAAAAACCCCCCCUGUGGUUUCGUGCUUUCUCACUUUACUACCCUGUGGUUUAAAACGUAUCAAUUUGCCCCCCUGUGGUUUCGUUUUUCUCUUUUUGUUAUCAAUUUUAUUAUUAUUUUUUUCUUAAAUCAGUGACAAAGUUAAAAUUAAAGGAUACUAAAGUGAAUAUUCGAUAAAUAUAGAUGGUUAUCUGAAGUUUUUUGUAUAUAAUUUAACGAAAUGUUAACGAAAAAGCUUCCGAAAAGAUAAAAAUGAAACCACAGGGGGGCAAAUUGAUACGUUUUAAACCACAGGGUAGUAAAGUGAGAAUGCACGAAACUACAGGGGGGUUUUUGAAGUUUUCCCUUAAAUUUAACAUCUUUUAGAUUCUUAUACUUAAAAAAAAAAUUAAAAUACUAUUAAUAGCAAAAGAAAAAUAUGGCCAAAUUGCAUAAAAAAUCCACUAGUUUUGCGCUGUUGAAAAAGUGGGCCACUUUUUUCGAUUUUGCAGAUUCGGACCGAAUUUUCACCAAACUGACCAAAAUACCCUUAUUACUUUUUCCCUCUCCUCUUUUUUUCUCUCGUUCAUUUUUUUUUUCUCGUCGGUAGAGUGGAGGCGGAGCGGAGGCAGAAACGGCCCGUCUCGCCUCUCACCCUUAUGCUCUCGCCCUCGCCCUCGCCUGCGCACUCCCCACCUUCCUCGCCUCCGACCCCGCCGAGGCCGCACCGCGACUUUUUUUUUUUUUUCCUCUCCGACUCUCCUCCACCGUCUUCGGCGACGACGCCUCUCUCGCCCUUCCGCCUUUCUUGUCCUCUCUCUCUCCCUCCUACUCUGCUGCCUUCGACGACGACGCAUCUUCGCUGACGACGCAUCUUCGCCGACGCCGACACCGUUUAGGUCGCUACGGCGCCGCAACCUAGGGUGGGGGGUCCUUAGUGGCGUUGUCGCCGGCGCUGGCAGAGAGGGGUGACAAAAAAAAAAUAUAGAAGAAGCAAGAAAAAAAAAUAAAGAUAGAAAAUUAUAGAAAAAAAAAGAUGAAGAUUAAAUUGCACCGUUAAAAUAAAAUUACACUGUUUUAAAAGAACGUUGCAUUAUUAAGAUGUAAACUGCAGCUUUAAGAUUAAAUUAUACUCUUUAAACGAAAAUUGCACUCUUUAGGAGAUAUUUAUAUUGUUUCUCCUCUUAUUGCACUCUUUCAGAUGUAAACUGCAUCCAUUAAGAUAAAAGUUACACUCUUUAAACGAAAGUUGCACUCUUUGAGAGAUAUUUACACUAUUUCUCCUCUUAUUGCAUUGUUUCUCCUCUUGUUGCACUAUUUCUCUUAUUGUUUACACAGAAAUGGUGCAACAAGAGGAGAAACAGUGCAACAAGAAAAGAAAUAAUAUAAAUAUUUCUUAAAGGAAUGCAGUUUACAAAAGGAGAAACAGUGCAGCAAGAAGAGAAGAAAUAAUGUAAAUAUCUCUCAAAGAGUGCAACUUUCGUUUAAAGAGUAUAAUUUUUAUCUUAAUAGAUACAGUUACAUUUAAAAGAAUGCAAUAAGAGAAGAAACAGUGCAACAAGAGAAGAAACAGUGCAACAAGAGGAGAAACAGUAUAAAUAUCUCUUAAAGGGGUGCAGUUUACAUCUCAAAGGGUGCAAGAAGAGAAAAAAUAGUGUAAAUAUCUCUCAAAGAGUGCAACUUUCGUUUAAAGAGUGUAACUUUCAUCUUAAUGGAUGCAGUUUACAUCUGAAAGAGUGCAAUAAGAGGAGAAACAGUGUAAAUAUCUCUCAAAGAGUGUAAUUUUCGUUUAAAGAGUGUAACUUUCAUCUUAAUGGAUACAAUUUACAUCUGAAAGAGUGCAAUAAGAGGAGAAACAGUGUAAAUAUCUCCCAAAGAGUGUAAUUUUCGUUUAAAGAGAUAAAAAUUUAUCUUAAAGCUGCAGUUUACAUCUUAAAUAGUACAACUUAUGUUCAUAAUAGUGCAACGUUCUUUUAAAACAGUAUAAUUUUAUUUUAACGGUGCAAUUUCAUUUUCAUCUUUCUUUUUCUAUAAAUUUUUAUCUUUAUUUUUUUUUCUUGCUUCUAUCAUUUUUUUUUAUCACCCCUCUCUGCCAACGGCCACUGCGCCGGACACGACGCCGCUAAGAACCCCCCGCUCCGAGGCUGCAGCGCCGCAGCGACCUCCACGGUGUCGGUGUCGGCGAAAAUGCGUCAUCGUCGGAGGCGGCAGAGGAGGAAGGAGAGGGAGAGGACAAGAAGGGCGGGGAAGGGUGAGAGAGGCUUCAUUGUCGGAGACGGUAGAGGCGAGUCGAACAAGAAAAAAAAAAGAGUCGCGGCGCAGCCUCGGUGGGGUCGGAGGCGAGGAUGGUGGGGGGUGCGCGGACGAGGGCAAGGACGAGCUCGAGAGCAUGAGGGUGAAAGGCGAGGCGGGCCAUUUCCGCCUCCGCCUCUGCCUCCACUGCUUUCUUCGGUGAGAGAAAAAAAAAAUGAACGAGAGAAAAAAAGAUGAGAGAGAAAAAGGAGAGAGAAAAAGUAAUAAAGAUAUUUUAGUCAGUUUGCUGAAAAUUCGGACCGAAUCUGCAAAAACGAAAUAGAUGGCCCACUUGUACAAAAACCCAAAAUUAGUGAAUUUUUUUGUACAAAUUGGCCGAAAAAUACUAGCUACCUAUUAUUAUAGUUUUUGAAUACAUAGAGUUUAUUAUUUGGCGUGAUAUGUGCUAUUAUAAAUUGAAGGACUACAAAGUUAACAUUAAAUACUUAAUUUACUAUCAAUAGUAUUAUAGGUGAACUCUUUUAUGCAUAGAAUUAAAAAAAAAGAAAAAUUAAUUACACCAUUUGCCCCAAACAUUCAUUUUUUGUUUUGAUUUUAGACUUAAGAUUUUCUCAAUUAAAUUCUUAAGCUAUAUUAUUUGUUUCGAUUAAGUCCUGCUCAUCAAAAAGUUUAAUAAUUUUGAUAAAAUUUGUAGCAAAUAUGAUUUAGAAAUAAUGUGACAAUUCUCGUCAGAUUUUAAUACAAGACGUUAUUGAAAGACUCAAGAGGCAUUUGAAACUUAAUUACAAAAUAUUUUACAAAAUUGAGUGUCAAAAUAGAAAGCUUAUGAUAGAGAGCGAUAUAAAGACACCACAUUAAAUUACUAACUUGUGGACUAUAUUAAUAUUAAUUCAUCAAUAAUAUUUUAUAAAAUUCGUUUCAAGUACUUGCUACGCGCAGGCUCGCUCCCUCCUUCCACUUAUUGGCAACUCCCUGCAGCGCCUUGUAUGAGGACCCGUCCGGCGGUGCGAGCGCCCUCGCCGCCGCCUCCUGCAACUCCUUGGUGCGGCACCGCAGCGCCUUGCCCUUCUCCCCCUGCAUCAAUUCCUUCACCGCCGCCGCGAUCUCCUCCCUGCCGACGACACCGUAGGGGUCCCUUGACCGCGGCCGGAUGGCGAUUCCGACCGCCUCGGUGAGCAGGACGGCAUUCCAGUGCUGUUCGGCAUAGAGCGGGUGCGCAAUCAUCGGCACGCCAUGCACGGUGCUCUCCAGCGCCGAGUUCCAGCCGCAGUGUGAGAAGAAGCCGCCAGUCGCAGCAUGGGCCAGCACCUUGACCUGCGGCGCCCACGACGACACCACGCGGCCCACGUCCUUUGUCCGUUCCAAGAAGCCCUCCGGAAGGUAGUUCGAAGGAUCAUCCUUGCUUCCUAAUAUCAUUUAUAAACAGUAAAAAGCGAUAAAUCAAGUAUAGCAACCGAGUUCUCCAACCAACUUUGGCCUAUGAAAGAAAUAACUUUAAUACUAAAUCGAUGUGCGAAGAAAUAUAAAAACUCGAUACUAAUAAAUUAAAAUUAUAUAUAUUAUAAUAACAGCACAUCAUCAAAUUUUAUAACAAUAGCUCGGUACCUGAUGUGAAAAAGGCGGCGUUCUUUUCUUUGUCACUGGGACACCUGACAACCCAAAGGAAGCGCUGCCCGCUGGCCUCCAGCCCGAGUGCCAUCUCCUGCAUCUGCUCCGUCGAGAGGGAGCCGCCACUCCCGAAAGACACGAAUAAAACCGAAUCGGCCGGCUGCCGGUCCAGCCACUCCAGGCAGCCCGACUCGUCCGCCUCAUCCGAACCGGACCGGACCAUCGGACCCACCAGGUGGACCGGCGGCCUCCCUGCUUCCGCUUGCUCCUCCUCUCUGAUGGCUUUCAGCACCUCCUUCUCCAUCUCCUCGAAGCUGUUCACCAGGAUCCCGGCCGCGUCACUGUAACUGCAAAACAACUCGUUACUUUGACAAUUCAAUCGUAUUCGAACUCGGAAUCUACUAUUUUAUUUAAAAUUAUCAAAUUCUUUUAGAAACUUACGUUAUUAGAUAAGAUAACGAUAUUUCUUACCUGCUCAUGAUCCGGAUGAGCGGAGCGUACGCGGGGUGUGACUUCUUGCGCAAGGGGUCGGGGAAGUCCGUCCCGCGUAUGGCGACGCAGCCUGGCAGGCAGACGGGGUCGGGGAGGUCUUCGAAGUCGACGUCGGUGGUCUCGUCGAGCCGGGGCAGGUGCAGCGCGAGGGUGAGCAUCCUAAGAUUGGUAGGGUAAAAUAUGUAACCCGGCACACCGAGCUCCCGCACCAGCGACAGCGUCACGGACCCAAAAAGGUCGCAGACGAAGGCGGCGGCGGGGUUUCGGAAGGAGAGGAAGGCGUCGCGGAGGAGGGGGAGGCAUCGGGUGAGGAGCGCGCAGAGAUGGACUUCGAUCGGGGAGUCGGGGGGGAGGUCGGAGAGGGAGAUGGAGGGGAGGGAGACGGAGGUGACGGAGUCGGAGGGGAGGGAGGCGAGGAAGGCGGCCUGCGCCGGGGAGUUGAAGUUGGAGAAGGUGAGGAGGGUGGCGGAGAAGCUGUGGGCGGCAGCGAGCCGAACGGCGAAGUCCGCCAGCGGGAUCACGUGGCCCAUUCCCGGCGUCGGGAGCAGAACCACAUGAGGCCGCCGGCUCUCAUUCCCCUCGACAGCCAUAUAAUUAAUA